rnacentral:rRNA from 1 species
UACGUAGGUGGCAAGCGUUGUCCGGAAUUAUUGGGCGUAAAGCGCGCGCAGGUGGUUUCUUAAGUCUGAUGUGAAAGCCCACGGCUCAACCGUGGAGGGUCAUUGGAAACUGGGGAACUUGAGUGCAGAAGAGGAAAGUGGAAUUCCAAGUGUAGCGGUGAAAUGCGUAGAGAUUUGGAGGAACACCAGUGGCGAAGGCGACUUUCUGGUCUGUAACUGACACUGAGGCGCGAAAGCGUGGGGAGCAAAAGGG